ensembl:lncRNA
UGUUGACCUGUCUAAAGUCUUACUCACAUCGGCUGCAGAGAGCGUGAUCACAGUCUUCCGGUACAGCUGCUGCGCUCAUGCAUGUUAUUUGCCUCGAAGCGAGCAUAGAAGUAGUUUAGCUCAUCUGAUAGGCUCGUGAGGUAGAUCUAGGAUUUUAAAAAUCGUAUCACGGGGGAUGGUAGAGGACGCCAUGUGCGACUGACGUGUUUUUCCGUUUGCUCCCGUGGUAUUCUUGAAGUUUAUGUGAAUUCUGCAGCAGAACCAUAUUUAUUUUCAAAUAUUAAUUUGGUGAUCCCUUUCCGUAAAAAACAAGACUACUUUGCUUCUGAAUGUCAGCAUGUCGACCAAACAUAAGGCCAAAAGCAUGACUUUGAGAAAACCCGGCCUACAAGACCCGCUCUCAUCACCGCCCUCUCCUGAGUCUGAGGGCCCGAGGAUGCACACUUUAACUGGGGGCACGGCGCUGAAAUGAACAUUCUCGAGGCCAUCAAACUACUACGCUCUGAGAUAGUUGAAAUGAAAACACAGGUGGUUGUGUUUCUCAACACGUCAUUCACAUUUCAUUUUCAGAGAUCAUUACUCUUGAAUAAACGGCCUUUACUAUACAUUAUCCGCCUUGUCCAGAGUCGCAACUUGGUCUCGUUUCUCAUGUAUCUAUUCAUCAACAGUUGCUACGAUUGAGGCCAGAAUACAGGAGGUUUCUGAUACUUUAAAAGCAGAUUUAACCAUCCUGCAGAACGAGACUGUGCCAGCAAUCACAAUACACAAAACAACAACUGCGUCACACACUACAACGAUUGCGGCACUGGAGACCUCCGCUACUGAUGUCUCCGAUUUAACUACAUCCCUGGAGGCUGAAGUUAAACGCCUAGUUGCGGAUUUGAAAAAGGUGAAGGAGAGCUGUGUGAGUCUAGAGGGAUUCUCUCGCUGCAAUAAUCUGAGACUUGUAUCAUGCAUCGCGCCACCGAUUUCGUUUCAGGGCUGCUGAAGGAUGUUCUUGCCUUAGAUGAAAAGCCCCUGAUUGAUCGAGCCCACCGGUCGCUGCGCCCAAAGCCCCGGGAUGGGGAGAGGCCCCAUGACAUAAUUCUUUGAGUGCACUUUUUUCAUGAGAAGAUGGAGAUCCUCCGACGAGCCCGCAAUACCACUCUGAGCUUUCAAGGACAGAGCUUUUCCAUCUACCAGGACUACUCCCCCACUGUUUCCAGGCAGCGCGCAGCUUUCGGACAGGCCAAACGAGUACUUCAGGACCAUCCAAGUGUGAAGUAUGGACUGCGAUUCCCGGCCAGUUUAUGGAUAUCUCAUGAGGGUAAAGACUACACAUUUGAAUCUCCGGAUGAGGCUAUGGCUCACAUUCAACGUCACAUCAAGAAGUCUUGAAUAUGCUCACAGUUCAGCAACUGUUGCUUGCGAACUGUGGAUAGACCUGAGCCCUAGGACCAUGCCCCAGGACUACCUGACAUGAUGACUCCUUGCUGUCCCCAGUCCA